rnacentral:rRNA from 1 species
GACGAACGCUGGCGGCGUGCUUAACACAUGCAAGUCGAACGAUGAACCGGGUGCUUGCACUUGGGGAUUAGUGGCGAACGGGUGAGUAACACGUGAGUAACCUGCCCUGGACUCUGGGAUAACCCCGAGAAAUCGGAGCUAAUACCGGAUAGGACCUUUCCUCGCAUGAGGUUUGGUGGAAAGUUUUUUCGGUUUGGGAUGGACUCGCGGCCUAUCAGCUUGUUGGUGAGGUAAUGGCUCACCAAGGCGUCGACGGGUAGCCGGCCUGAGAGGGUGACCGGCCACACUGGGACUGAGACACGGCCCAGACUCCUACGGGAGGCAGCAGUGGGGAAUAUUGCACAAUGGGCGCAAGCCUGAUGCAGCAACGCCGCGUGCGGGAUGACGGCCUUCGGGUUGUAAACCGCUUUUAGUAGGGAAGAAGCCUUUCGGGGUGACGGUACCUGCAGAAAAAGGACCGGUUAACUACGUGCCAGCAGCCGCGGUAACAC